CCCCUACUUUGAGGCCAUGAAGCAGAAAGACAUGGAGGUGCUGUUCUGCUAUGAGCAGUUUGACGAGCUCACCCUCCUGCACCUCAGAGAGUUUGACAAGAAGAAGCUGAUCUCUGUGGAAACAGACAUUGUGGUGGACCACUACAAGGAGGAGAAGUACCAGGACAGCAAGCCUGCCUCUGAGCGUCUGACAGAGGAGCAGGCUGAA